rnacentral:rRNA from 1 species
GCAAGUCGAACGGCAGCAUGACAGAGCUUGCUCCAGAUGACGAGUGGCGCACGGGUGAGUAACGCGUACACGACCUACCUCAAAGAGGGGGAUAGCCUCGGGAAACUGAGAAUAAUACCCCAUGUGGUUAAUUUAACUAAAAAGAUUAAUUAAAGGCUUCGGCCGCUUUGAGAUGGGUGUGCGUACUAUUAGAUAGUUGGUGAGGUAACGGCUCACCAAGUCGACGAUAGUUAGGGGGCGUGAGAGCGUGAUCC